AUUUUUUGCAAGCGUGCACCUUUGGUUGGAUGCCAAUCACCUGUUGGAACCCGCCAUGGUCUUAAAUAUCAGAGAGGUGAUACAUGAAAAUGGAGCAGUGCUUGCAUACAUUUUAAGAUAGAAGAAUUAAACAUAUCUACUUUUAUUUCAUGACUCAUUUCAACUUGAUGUAUGAUUGCAUCAUGGCAUAUAUACGUUACAGUUUUUCUUUGGUG
rnacentral:misc_RNA from 1 species